rnacentral:rRNA from 1 species
CCUACGGGUGGCAGCAGUGAGGAAUAUUGGUCAAUGGGCGAGAGCCUGAACCAGCCAAGUCGCGUGAGGGAUGACGGUCCUAUGGGUUGUAAACCUCUUUUGUCGGGGAACAAAGAGGGCCACGUGUGGACUGAUGAGUGUACCCGAAGAAAAAGCAUCGGCUAACUCCGUGCCAGCAGCCGCGGUAAUACGGAGGAUGCGAGCGUUAUCCGGAUUUAUUGGGUUUAAAGGGUGCGUAGGCGGACCUUCAAGUCAGCGGUCAAACUUCGGUGCUCAACGCCGUACUUCCGUUGAAACUGGCAGUCUUGAGUGCGCUAGAAGUAUGCGGAAUGCGUGGUGUAGCGGUGAAAUGCCUCGAUAUCACGCAGAACUCCGAUUGCGAAGGCAGCAUACCGGCGCGCUACUGCCGCU